AGCUGUUGUGGCACCCCGUCCAUCCCGAAAGCUCCAGCAUUCCAUUUCAAGGCUCUCCUGCUGGCCCCCCUCCCACCAUCAUUCCUCUGAGAGAAUGUGGCCUUGAGAUCAAGGGAUGGAGAGGGGCCAGCUACAGCCACCUGACACCAAGCCUCAUCAACCUCGCCUAUCUCUUUCCCCUCUCUGUCCUCACUGUGGGGUCAAGAGGUGGGUCACUCCUUCCCUUUGUCCGAGUUGGCCAAGACAGCUACCCUGAGAGAAAGAAGGAAGCUUCAAAUACAGACAUGGGGGCUCCUCCCCUAGGCCCACCUUGGGACAGGAGGCACAAUAGGGCAGACCACACCAAAACCCCAGAAAGAGCCUUGAAUUCAUCUCACUCCCAGCUCCCCUUCCACUUGUCCUUCUCAUAUGCUGAGCCCUACUGAGGACAAUCGCCUGGCCCGGAAGAUGGCGUCACCGCAGAUUUAUGGCACCCCCAGAAAUGCACAGAGGAGAGCAGAGCAGGGAUGUAAGAUCAUGCCACGUUCCUCCACCGCUGGGGAAGGCAGCAGUGCUAGUGCUGGAGACGGAGAAUACAGCGUUUGAUCGCUCUCUACAGCAAACACAAAAGACGGGACUUGUAGAGACAGAAGAAGUCAGGUAAAUCUCCUGCUGUCCCACAGCUAAUGACAGAAAAGUGGGGACUCGAAACCAGAUACGCCUGAUGCCGACGCCUACGUGGGUCUGCUGUGCCGCGCUGCCCGACGCGAGGCCUGGUCUCUGUCUGCGGCUGUCACCACUCGUCUCUCACUGUGAUCGGGGCUUCAGCGCAGCAUUAAACACCACCACCUCCUCACUCCUCGGUUGUCCUGGUCUUAUGUAUCCCACGCAGCUUCCCGCUGGUAACCGCCAGUUCCUUGGGCCUAAGAUGAUUUUGCUUUAAUUGUUCCUGGAUGGAACACAGACUCUGACGUCCCCAUCUGACUUCCUGAUGAGGGGGUACCUGACACUUGGCUGUGAGCCGGAUGCCACAGGAAGUCACCCUUCUCAAGAGAAGACAGGUAUCUCCAAGGUUGUGGCAAGGGCCGUGGUGACAAAACGGUGAGAGGGCUCCUCGAUGGUGUUGCCCAGGCCUUGGUGAGAACGUCAUUCCAGGGGCCCCUGGGUGGCUCGGUCGGUUGGGCGUCUGCCUGUGGCUCAGGUCGUGAUCCAGGGGU